CCUACGGGAGGCUGCAGUGAGGAAUAUUGGUCAAUGGACGCAAGCCUGAACCAGCCAAGCCGCGUGCAGGAAGACGGCCCUAUGAGUUGUAAACUGCUUUUGUACGAGGGUAAAUUCCGAUACGUGUAUCGGGUUGAAAGUAUCGUACGAAUAAGGAUCGGCUAACUCCGUGCCAGCAGCCGCGGUAAUACGGAGGAUUCAAGCGUUAUCCGGAUUUAUUGGGUUUAAAGGGUGCGUAGGCGGUUAGAUAAGUUAGAGGUGAAAUCCCGGGGCUUAAACCCGGCACUGCCUUUGAUACUGUCGGGCUAGAGAUUAGUUGCGGUAGGCGGAAGGUAUGGUGUAGCGGUGAAAUGCAUAGAGAUGAUACAGAACACCGAUUGCGAAGGCAGCUUACCAGACUACGACUGACGUUGAGGCACGAAAGCGUGGGGAGCAAACAGGAUUAGAUACCCUUGUAGUC
rnacentral:rRNA from 1 species